CCUACGGGAGGCAGCAGUGAGGAAUAUUGGUCAAUGGGCUUACGCCUGAACCAGCCAAGUCGCGUGAGGGAAGACUGCCCUAUGGGUUGUAAACCUCUUUUGUCAGGGAGCAACGCCGGCUACGUGUAGCCGGACUGAGAGUACCUGAAGAAAAAGCAUCGGCUAACUCCGUGCCAGCAGCCGCGGUAAUACGGAGGAUGCGAGCGUUAUCCGGAUUUAUUGGGUUUAAAGGGUGCGUAGGUUGUUUUAUAAGUUAGCGGUGAAAUACCGAUGCUCAACAUCGGGGCUGCCGCUAAUACUGUAGGACUAGAGAUCGGAUGCAGCAGGCGGAAUGUGUAGUGUAGCGGUGAAAUGCAUAGAUAUUACACAGAACACCGAUUGCGAAGGCAGCUUGCUAGGCCGGAUCUGACACUGAUGCACGAAAGCGUGGGGAUCGAACAGGAUUAGAUACCCCGGUAGUC
rnacentral:rRNA from 1 species